rnacentral:rRNA from 1 species
GUACCAUCAACACCUUACACGUAAGAUGAUUUUUUCCCAUACAAAAGCAGUUUACGACCCAUAGGGCCUUAUUCCUGCACGCGGAAUGGCUGGAUCAGGGUUGCCCCCAUUGUCCAAUAUUCCCUACU